rnacentral:rRNA from 1 species
GACGUAGGGCGCAAGCGUUGUCCGGAAUUAUUGGGCGUAAAGAGCUCGUAGGCGGCUUGUUGCGUCGACUGUGAAAACCCGUGGCUCAACCAUGUGGUCUGCAGUCGAUACGGGCAGGCUAGAAUUCGGUAGGGGAGACUGGAAUUCCUGGUGUAGCGGUGAAAUGCGCAGAUAUCAAGCGGAACACCAGUGGCGAAGGCGAGUCCCUGGACAACUCCUGACACUGAGGCACGAAAGCUAGGGGAGCAAACAGG